rnacentral:rRNA from 1 species
UGGAAGUAAAAAGUCGUAACAAGGUCUCCGUUGGUGAACCAGCGGAGGGAUCAUUACCGAGUUAUACAACUCAUCAACCCUGUGAACAUACCUAAAACGUUGCUUCGGCGGGAACAGACGGCCCUGUAACAACGGGCCGCCCCCGCCAGAGGACCCCUAACUCUGUUUUUAUAAUGUUUUUCUGAGUAAACAAGCAAAUAAAUUAAAACUUUCAACAACGGAUCUCUUGGCUCUGGCAUCGAUGAAGAACGCAGCGAAAUGCGAUAAGUAAUGUGAAUUGCAGAAUUCAGUGAAUCAUCGAAUCUUUGAACGCACAUUGCGCCCGCCAGUAUUCUGGCGGGCAUGCCUGUUCGAGCGUCAUUACAACCCUCAGGCCCCCGGGCCUGGCGUUGGGGAUCGGCGGAAGCCCCCUGUGGGCACACGCCGUCCCUCAAAUACAGUGGCGGUCCCGCCGCAGCUUCCAUUGCGUAGUAGCUAACACCUCGCAACUGGAGAGCGGCGCGGCCAUGCCGUAAAACACCCAACUUCUGAAUGUUGACCUCGAAUCAGGUAGGAAUACCCGCUGAACUUAAGCAUAUCAAUAAGCGGAGGAA